rnacentral:rRNA from 1 species
GACGAACGCUGGCGGCGUGCCUAAUACAUGCGAGUCGAGCGGACUUUCAAGAAGCUUGCUUUUUGAAAGUUAGCGGCGGACGGGUGAGUAACACGUGGGCAACCUGCCUGCAAGACGGGGAUAACUCCGGGAAACCGGGGCUAAUACCGGAUAAUAUCUUCCUUCGCAUGAAGGAAGGUUGAAAGGCGGCGCAAGCUGCCGCUUGCAGAUGGGCCCGCGGCGCAUUAGCUAGUUGGUGAGGUAACGGCUCACCAAGGCGACGAUGCGUAGCCGACCUGAGAGGGUGAUCGGCCACACUGGGACUGAGACACGGCCCAGACUCCUACGGGAGGCAGCAGUAGGGAAUCUUCCGCAAGGGACGAAAGUCUGACGGAGCAACGCCGCGUGAGCGAAGAAGGUCUUCGGAUCGUAAAGCUCUGUUGUCAGGGAAGAACAAGUACCGUUCGAACAGGGCGGUACCUUGACGGUACCUGACCAGAAAGCCACGGCUAACUACGUG